rnacentral:misc_RNA from 1 species
GUCGAAGGAGAUUAUGAAUUCUGGUAAAGCAGCUGCAGAACUUGUGAAGCUGAACCCGGGGAGCGAGUAUGCCCCUGGGCUGGAGGAUACACUUAUCCUGACCAUGAAGGGUGUCGCGGCUGGCAUGCAGAACACCGGUUAGGUUGCUUUCUGUGUUUGAGCAGCUGUGAAGAAUCUUAGGCUCUCUGCGCUUUAACUACGUUCCGAGUUUUAAGUAAUCUUUCUCUAAGUGGACUUGUUAUGUUUUGCAUUCUCAGUCUAUUAUGUAUUAUAAGGUGUUACAAGUGUUAUGUAAGCAGAGUAAUGUUUCAACUGUGUCCUGGAGAUGAAUGCUGAAUGAACCAUCCUGGA